rnacentral:rRNA from 1 species
UAGCCCCAGUAACGGCGAGUGAAGCGGCUACAGCUCAAAUUUGAAAUCUGGCUCCCUGUGGGGGUCCGAGUUGUAAUUUGCAGAGGAUGCUUCGGCGUUGGCGGCGGUCUAAGUUCCCUGGAACAGGACAUCGCAGAGGGUGAGAAUCCCGUACGUGGGCGCCUGCCUUUGCCGUGUGAAGCUCCUUCGACGAGUCGAGUUGUUUGGGAAUGCAGCUCUAAAUGGGAGGUAAAUUUCUUCUAAAGCUAAAUACCGGCCAGAGACCGAUAGCGCACAAGUAGAGUGAUCGAAAGAUGAAAAGUACUUUGGAAAGAGAGUCAAACAGCACGUGAAAUUGUUGAAAGGGAAGCGCUUGCCGCCAGACGUGCCCGCAGUUGCUCACCCGGAUUCCGAUCCGGGGCACUCUUCUGCGGGCAGGCCAGCAUCGGUUCGGGCGGUCGGACAAAGGCCUCUGUCAAGUACCACCCCUCGGGGUGGCCUUAUAGGGGAGGCGCAAUGCGACCAGCCCGGACCGAGGUCCGCGCAUCUGCUAGGAUGCUGGCGUAAUGGCUGCAAGCGGCCCGUCUUGAAACACGGAUCAAGGAGUCUAACAUCUGUGCGAGUGUUUGGGUGUCAAGCCCGGGCGCGCAAUGAAAGUGAACGGAGGUGGGAACCCCUCGGGGCGCACCAUCGACCGAUCCUGAUGUCUUCGGAUGGAUUUGAGUAAGAGCACAGCUGUUGGGACCCGAAAGAUGGUGAACUAUGCUUGAAUAGGGUGAAGCCAGAGGAAACUCUGGUGGAGGCUCGCAGCGGUUCUGACGUGCAAAUCGAUCGUCAAAUUUGGGCAUAGGGGCGAAAGACUAAUCGAACCAU